rfam:Hordeum vulgare subsp. vulgare, WGS project CAJW01000000 data, contig: morex_contig_7336
CUUGUACUCACUCCGUCCGAAAAUACUUGUCUUAAAAAUAAAUAUAUCUAGAUUUAUUUUAGUCAUAGAUACAUCCAUUAUAUUUAUUUUUAGGACAAGUGUCUCGGGACGGAGGGAGUAAGAC